rnacentral:lncRNA from 1 species
CCACAGCUACUGCUACUCCCCCUGUUGCUGCUGCUGCCACAGCUACUACUACUGGUGCCGGUGACUGGUGGCCUAGUUUUUCUCUAGGCCUAAGUUUGCCUUCACAGCCAGUACCUGAGCAGCAGACUUCUCAGAUGCCAGAUACCAGUACAGAGCAGCCUCCUCCUGUUGUGCAGCGUCAGCACAGGAUUCGGCCUUGGCAUGGUACACCAGAGGUACCCCCUUUUGACUUGGGCAGCUCUUCACAGUCUACACAG